rnacentral:rRNA from 1 species
UAAAUAGCCCGUAUUGCUUUGGCAGUACGCUGGCUUCUUAGAGGGACUAUUGAUUCAAAUCAGUGGAAGUGCGAGGCAAUAACAGGUCUGUGAUGCCCUUAGAUGUUCUGGGCCGCACGCGCGUUACACUGACAGAGCCAGCGAGUUCUUCCUUGGCCGAAAGGCCCG